ACUGAUUCCUCCUGGUGGCUAAGGCUGUUUGUGUCCCUGGUUUGGGGCCAGUGAGACUUGACAAGGAACACUGAUGGGAAACAGUUGGCGGGAGGAUUCUUCACUUCUGAGCCGUAGCCCAAAUGGAGGUUUCAGGCUCCUGACGUCUCGUGUUCUUCCUCUCAGGUGACUUGCUUUCUACAUGCCUUAACUGUGCCCUCUGUUGUAUCUACUAUGAUAAACCAGUAGCAAGGACAUUACUGUCGUGAGAAAUGGAGAACAUAACAGACUAAGGUGAUGGAAGGAAAGAGUCUUGUCAACAUCUUGGCCUUGCAGUCUCCAGCUUCCACACUGUCAAGAAAUGAGUAUCUAUUGUUUAAUCAAAAAAGUGUUUUCUGCUCUUAAGCAAAAGGACAAUGCUGUACUUACCUUCCAGCUGUCCCCUUCUCUGCCCUCAGACUGUGACAAUCAUGUUUUGACCACAAGAACAAGAUGUAAGACCCAAGGAGAGAGGGGGAGAGGGAGGAUGGCUCAUGGACACCAAAAUACGGACAGAAGUAAUAAAUUGUUCUGUUCUACAAAACAAUAGAAUAGGUGUCCCCACAGUAACUGCUGCCAUAGUCCAUAAAAGUCACUAGAAGGGAGAUGUUUGUUGGCUUCGAACACAAAGCAACAAUGACAGAAAGAGGAACAGCUCUGAUUUGAUUAGUGCCUGUGGUACAGACACAUGUAUUGAAAUGUCACUUGACCUGCUGGUCCAGCUCAGUGAGAGCCCAGUGCUUUUUACUUGAAGUCUGGAAAGCUGGCCGAUUUGUAUUGUUGACAAUGUUGGGGACAAAGAGUAGAUGAUGAAGAAUUAAAGACGUGGUUGCAUCAGAAUUGUAGUACUUGGAGACUUGUUAUUCCCUCUGAGUGUCCUACUUCCCUGCGGGGGUCU
rnacentral:lncRNA from 1 species